AGAACCUUCGGGUUAGUGGCGGACGGGUGAGUAACGCGUGAGAAUCUGCCCUCAGGAGGGGGAUAACGGUUGGAAACGACCGCUAAUACCCCAUAUGCCGCGAGGUGAAAUGAAUUUCGCCUGAGGAUGAGCUCGCGUCUGAUUAGUUAGUUGGUGGGGUAAAGGCCUACCAAGACAUCGAUCAGUAGCUGGUCUGAGAGGAUGAUCAGCCACACUGGGACUGAGACACGGCCCAGACUCCUACGGGAGGCAGCAGUGGGGAAUUUUCCGCAAUGGGCGAAAGCCUGACGGAGCAACGCCGCGUGAGGGAUGAAGGCCUCUGGGCUGUAAACCUCUUUUAUCAAGGAAGAAGAUCUGACGGUACUUGAUGAAUAAGCCACGGCUAAUUCCGUGCCAGCAGCCGCGGUAAUACGGGAGUGGCAAGCGUUAUCCGGAAUUAUUGGGCGUAAAGCGUCCGCAGGCGGUCUGUCAAGUCUGCUGUUAAAGCGUGGAGCUUAACUCCAUUUCGGCAGUGGAAACUGACAGACUAUAGUGUGGUAGGGGCAGAGGGAAUUCCCGGUGUAGCGGUGAAAUGCGUAUAUAUCGGGAAGAACACCAGUGGCGAAGGCGCUCUGCUGGGCCGUAACUGACGCUCAUGGACGAAAGCCAGGGGAGCGAAAGGGAUUAGAUACCCCUGUAGUCCUGGCCGUAAACGAUGAACACUAGGUGUCGGGGGAAUCGACCCCCUCUGGGUUGUAGCCAACGCGUUAAGUGUUCCCCCCUGGGGAGUACGCCCCGCCAGUGUGAAAACUCAAUGAAAUUGACGGGGGC
rnacentral:rRNA from 1 species